GAUGAAGAACGUAGCGAAAUGCGAUAAGUAAUGUGAAUUGCAGAAUUCAGUGAAUCAUCGAAUCUUUGAACGCACAUUGCGCCCGCCAGUAUUCUGGCGGGCAUGCCUGUCCGAGCGUCAUUUCAACCCUCGCGCCCAUCUGGGCUGCGGUGUUGGGGACCGGCCUGCCCCCCCGGGGCGCGCCGCCCCCCAAAUUCAGUGGCGGUCUCGCUGCAGCCUCCCUUGCGUAGUAGCACACCUCGCACCGGAGCGCAGCGCGGCCACGCCGUAAAACCCCCGACCCCCAUGAGUUUGACCUCGGAUCAGGUAGGAAUACCCGCUGAACUUAAGCAUAUCAAUAAGCGGAGG
rnacentral:misc_RNA from 1 species